rnacentral:rRNA from 1 species
GUGGGGAAUUUUGGACAAUGGGCGCAAGCCUGAUCCAGCAAUGCCGCGUGUGUGAAGAAGGCCUUCGGGUUGUAAAGCACUUUUGUCCGGAAAGAAAUGGCCUGGGUUAAUACCCCGGGUCGAUGACGGUACCGGAAGAAUAAGCACCGGCUAACUACGUGCCAGCAGCCGCGGUAAUACGUAGGGUGCGAGCGUUAAUCGGAAUUACUGGGCGUAAAGCGUGCGCAGGCGGCGAUGCAAGACAGAUGUGAAAUCCCCGGGCUCAACCUGGGAACUGCAUUUGUGACUGCAUGGCUAGAGUGCGUCAGAGGGGGGUGGAAUUCCGCGUGUAGCAGUGAAAUGCGUAGAGAUGCGGAGGAACACCGAUGGCGAAGGCGGCUACCUGGACCGAUAUUGACGCUGAGACGCGAAAGCGUGGGGAGCAAACAGGAUUAGAAACCCCAGUAGUCC